UAAUACGUAGGAGACGAGCGUUGUCCGGAAUUACUGGGCGUAAAGCGCGUGUAGGCGGAUGAGCAAGUCUGCUGUGAAAGCUCCUGGCUUAACCGGGAGUGGUCGGUGGAAACUGCUCGUCUGGAGGACGGUAGAGGUAGGUAGAAUUCCCGGUGUAGUGGUGAAAUGCGUAGAGAUCGGGAGGAAUACCUGUGGCGAAGGCGGCCUACUGGGCCGGACCUGACGCUGAGACGCGAAGGCGUGGGGAGCGAACGGGAUUAGAUACCCCGGUAGUCCACGCAGUAAACGAUGUGUACUAGGUGUGGCGGGUAUCAAGCCCCGCCGUGCCGGAGCUAACGCUGUAAGUACACCGCCUGGGGAGUACGGCCGCAAGGUUA
rnacentral:rRNA from 1 species